CUGGCAGAGUAAACACUUAACACAUUCUGGUAAUGAGUCUUUUUUCUUUGAUGAAGCAACUGGAGUUCUUCGAUUUCAGCGUAGACAAUUGGCACAUUGCGAACGAAGCCCAGCCAAAAACAUCAUUGGCGCAAGUAACGAUGGUUCAACUGUCGCUGGAGAAAGUCUGGGGUUCGACAUAUCUCAUACCGGGCUGUAAAGCAGCAGCCAACCCUCGAGUACUACGGUGACACGAUUGUCCCACGUCUUACGAUGAUAAUCGAUCUGGCUCCCCCGAACUGUUAACUUAAUCUUAUGUUGUUUUCUUUUAGAUGCAGUGCAUUAGUGUUAGUAGAUCUGUGGGUUACGUGUAUGUCGGUAAUAUCAUACAGACAUAGAGUACAGACGGACAUGGGAAACAGUGCAAAACAGUAUUGGGAUGUACGGAUAUGGGGAGUGAUUUGAAAGGUGGCCGGGAGUCGUAUCAACACUCGGCGCCAUAUCCAUGGUCGCACAUUCAGGUUGAAUUAUUUCCGGAGGCAAAUCAUAGCCUUAAAUGAGAGUCAAGGUGAUUUUCUAAUUUUUUUUAUCGUAUUAAGUCAAAACAAUACCUAAGUAGGAUAGCCUUCGACUGCUAUGUGUGAGUCUCGUGUUAAAAUCCAAGUUUAUACAACUUAUAUUUAAACUGGUAUCCUAGUUUCCUAUUGUAGUUCUUACUUUGUGACUGGCUUCAUAAUUUAAUUUAAUGUUACAUAUUCAAGUUACAUAGGUAUGGCUGCAGUCACGGUUCAUUGACUUAUUCAAGACGCAACGUUUGCAGUCACGGAUGUGUGUUCGUGCCAAGUUUUCUGCUUCAUCGAUCGUGUGAGCCUGUAUGAAAUUGUGGUCUCCCAAGUGAAGUCCCAACAGGUGGUUGGAACAAAACAGUAAAGUCAAACCUGUGGUAAUUGCCUAGUCUCCCAGAUCACGUCGGUAAAAGAAGCGUAAAAAACAGCCACAACAAGUGUAAGCCUAGAAAGUGCGGUAUGAUGCCAGUGGCUAUGAAGAAUCCAGUUGUGAAGAACAAGUGAAGUGAAGUGUUAAGUGCUGAGUGGACUGCUGGAAUGGACUGCUGAGGCUUGCCAUAAUGUUAUUGCUUGAAAUAACAGGAACUCCAAUCUACACUCUACAAGUGCACCACUGUCAACAUUUCCAGGCAGGAAUCCAGUAAUGAAGAAAAAGUACCUGAUGGAGUGAGCUAAAACGUCAAGUUUCAGCCUACCCACUUGAAAUGCUUAAGCUAGGCUAUAUCCAUGUCAAAAUGGCCCAUUUCGGAAUUCCAAUCCAAUUAAUCUUCAGCUUAUGUCUAGUGGUAUAGUCUCUGCAUGGCACGCCGGAGACCCGGGUUCAACUCCGAUUGAAGUCACCCAUUGUUCCAUUUUUCCAAAUAUUUUCGCAACUUCCAACAAUUGGAUAUCAAUAUGUGGUAUUGCGAAGCUUAGAGGCUUUCUCUUAACUCUGACAUCGUAACUUACCCGAAGGUCCUGCAACAGGCACCUGGUAGAGAAAUUUUGUACUGCUUUAUGGAAUCCAAUUUAUUCUGUCGUCUGCUUCCUUCUUAGCGUGGGCUGCGUGGCUACAAUGAUUCAUGGUUUAAUCGGACUGGUUGUUGAUCGUUCGGUACGUCUUCCUUUGUGAAUAUCUUCAUAAUUACAAGUAUCCCUCUUUUUACUACAUUUAAAGCCCUAACAUUUUAUGUUAUUUUAUUCAUCUGUAUGACUAGAGUAGAUUUUAGUCGGUUGGUUGGAGGCAGCUCCGGUUGGAGGGGUCGUGUGGGCACAAUUUUUAAUUUUGCUUGUCAAUUCCAACUAUUCCUUAAACAUUGUUUUUGAUUUUAUGACAUCUUUCAUCAAAAUUCAUGUUCAAAAGAGUGAAUUACAUUGAAAGUUAAAGGUUAAAUGAACAAGUA